GACGAACGCUGGCGGCGUGCUUAACACAUGCAAGUCGAACGGAAAGGCCCUGCUUUUGUGGGGUGCUCGAGUGGCGAACGGGUGAGUAACACGUGAGUAACCUGCCCUUGACUUUGGGAUAACUUCAGGAAACUGGGGCUAAUACCGGAUAGGAGCUCCUGCUGCAUGGUGGGGGUUGGAAAGUUUCGGCGGUUGGGGAUGGACUCGCGGCUUAUCAGCUUGUUGGUGGGGUAGUGGCUUACCAAGGCUUUGACGGGUAGCCGGCCUGAGAGGGUGACCGGCCACAUUGGGACUGAGAUACGGCCCAGACUCCUACGGGAGGCAGCAGUGGGGAAUAUUGCACAAUGGGCGGAAGCCUGAUGCAGCAACGCCGCGUGCGGGAUGACGGCCUUCGGGUUGUAAACCGCUUUCGCCUGUGACGAAGCGUGAGUGACGGUAAUGGGUAAAGAAGCACCGGCCAACUACGUGC
rnacentral:rRNA from 1 species